ensembl:lncRNA
UGUGGGGCUACACUAAACAGGGAUGUGGGGCUACACUAAACAGGGAUGUGGGGCUACACUAAACAGGGAUGUGGAACUAAACAGGGAUGUGGGACUACACAGAGAUGUGGGACUACACAGAUAUGUGGGACUACACUAAACAGAUGUGGGGCUACACUAAACAGGGAUGUGGGGCUACACUAAACAGGGAUGUGGGGCUACACUAAACAGAGAUGUGGGGCUAAACAGGGAUGUGGGACUACACUAAACAGGGAUGUGGGACUACACUAAACAGGGAUGUGGGACUACACUAAACAGAGAUGUGGGACUACACUAAACAGGGAUGUGGGACUACACUAAACAGGGAUGUGGGACUACACUAAACAGAUAUGUGGGACUACACUAAACAGGGAUGUUGGACUACAUUAAACAGAUGUGGGACUACACUAAACAUGGAUGUG